GCUGUCUUGGUUACAUUUGUUGUUUGCAGACUGGUGAUUUGGAGGGAAUUGAAAAGUACAGCAAAAGGACUGUCAAGGUAACCAAGCAACAUAAUGAAGAUUGUAAAUGUCUCUUAAGACUAAUGGGUGUGCCUACUAUUGAGGCACCCUGUGAAGCAGAAGCUCAAUGCGCAGCUCUUUACAAAAGUGACAAGGU